rnacentral:rRNA from 1 species
CACGGGUGAGUAAUAUAUAGCUAACCUGCCCUUUAGUGGGGGACAACAGUUGGAAACGACUGCUAAUACCCCAUACUCCUUUUCAUCAAAUGGUGGAUCGGGAAAGAUUUAUCGCUAAAGGAUGGGGCUUUACGGUAUCAGAUAGUUGGUGGGGUAAUGGCCUACCAAGUCUAUGACAUCUAGCUGGUCUGAGAGGAUGAUCAGCCACACUGGAACUGAGACACGGUCCAGACUCC